rnacentral:rRNA from 1 species
GACGUAGGGGGCCAGCGUUGUUCGGAAUUACUGGGUGUAAAGGGUUCGUAGGCGGUGCGGCAAGUUGGGAGUGGAAUCUCUGGGCUUAACCCAGAGGCUGCUUCCAAAACUGCUGUGCUUGAGUGUGGGAGAGGCGCGUGGAAUUGCAGGUGUAGCGGUGAAAUGCGUAGAUAUCUGCAGGAACACCCGUGGCGAAAGCGGCGCGCUGGACCACUACUGACGCUGAGGAACGAAAGCUAGGGGAGCAAACAGG